rnacentral:ncRNA from 1 species
UUCCGUUGGGGUGCCCGCAAGGGCUGAGAGGUGCAAACCGACCCAUCGAACCUGAUCCGGGUCGUACCGGCGUAGGGAACGGAA